rnacentral:rRNA from 1 species
GACGAACGCUGGCGGCGUGCUUAACACAUGCAAGUCGAACGGAAAGGCCCUGCUUUUGUGGGGUGCUCGAGUGGCGAACGGGUGAGUAACACGUGAGUAACCUGCCCUUGACUUUGGGAUAACUUCAGGAAACUGGGGCUAAUACCGGAUAGGAGCUCCUGCUGCAUGGUGGGGGUUGGAAAGUUUCGGCGGUUGGGGAUGGACUCGCGGCUUAUCAGCUUGUUGGUGGGGUAGUGGCUUACCAAGGCUUUGACGGGUAGCCGGCCUGAGAGGGUGACCGGCCACAUUGGGACUGAGAUACGGCCCAGACUCCUACGGGAGGCAGCGGUGGGGAAUAUUGCACAAUGGGCGGAAGCCUGAUGCAGCAACGCCGGGGGCGGGAUGACGGCCUUCGGGUUGUAAACCGCUUUCGCCUGUGACGAAGCGUGAGUGACGGUAAUGGGUAAAGAAGCACCGGCUAACUACGU